UUUACAAUGUAGAGCUUCAUAGUUGACUUUUUUAUCUAUAAGUAACAGAGAUUCCUAUUUAAGUAAAUGCUAAAUUAAACAAUUAUCUUCAAAGGUAGCAGAUUAGUAAAAAAUAUGUAUAGUUCAAAGUUAAGUGAGGAUUAGUUAAAUGAAAAAGCACUAUGAUUAUGACUUAUUUAAAUGAUAUUAAUUUUAAAUUUAGUUUGGUCAGGAACAGAGAGUAUAAUAAGGUCUCUUUUACUUAAUUGCUCUAGUUUUUUGUUCUUUUGACCUUAAUGCUAAUUAUAUAACUUACCUGCAUUACAACUGUUGUUAAACAGUUUACUUCCUAGUUUGAGUCAGCCACUAAUUUGUUGCAUAUCAAGUGGAUAGACGUGGGAAACCAUAUUCUUAUUUCUUUAUUAAUUACAACCUGUAGAACAAUUGAGACUGG